rnacentral:rRNA from 1 species
CCUACGGGCGGCAGCAGUGGGGAAUAUUGCUCAAUGGCGGAGAGGCUGAAGCAGCCAAGUCGCGUGAGUGAAGAAGGCCCUACGGGUGGUAAGCUUCUUCUGUCGGGGAGCAAAGAGAGUCACGUGUGACUCAUUGAGAGUACCCGAAGAAAAAGCAUCGGCUAACUCCGGGCCAGCAGCCGCGGUAAUACGGAGGAUGCGAGCGUUAUGCGGAUGUAUGGGGCUAAAGGGGUGCGCAGGCGGAGGUGCAAGUCAGCGGUCAGGUUGCGGGGCUCAACCCCGUACUGCCGUUGAAACUGCAUCGCUUGAGUGCGCGAGAAGUAUGCGGAAUGCGUGGUGUAGCGGUGAAAUGCAUAGAUAUCACGCAGAACUCCGAUGGCGAAGGCAGCAUACCGGCGCGCAACUGACGCUCAUGCACGAAAGCGUGGGUAGCGAACAGGAUUAGAUACCCCUGUAGUC